rnacentral:tRNA from 1 species
CACCAGAUGACUGAAGAGAUAAGUGCAGGUCUUUUAAUCCUGUUAUGGCGCCCCACCCGCCUCUGGUGA